UUACAAAUAAUUAACAAAGGUAAGAAUUCAGGUGCAGUUAACUUUACGUAAAGUUGAUAGUUAAAAGUCGUUAAAUAGUUUAACUAAUUUAACUAAAUUUUUAUUUAAUAACUCUUAGUUAUUAACUUCAUAUAAAGU